rnacentral:misc_RNA from 1 species
CUUAAACUUUCCGGUAUUUGACCCGAAAAUGAAUUGUGUAUCAUUAGCAGCUCCUCUAGCUCGCCCUGUGCACACAAACUCGCAGGGAUUUCGCCAGUGAAUUUAUUGCUUGACACGUCGAGCCAUUUCAGCGGCGAGUUUUUGCCGAGGUUUUGAGGCAGCUCGCCGGUGAGUCUGUUACCAAACAGCCUGAGUUCGUACAACCGUGGUGAGUUGGCAAUGCUUGCAGGCAAGCUCCCUUCGAACUGAU